rnacentral:rRNA from 1 species
UGGGGAAUAUUGCACAAUGGGGGAAACCCUGAUGCAGCAACGCCGCGUGCGGGAUGACGGCCUUCGGGUUGUAAACCGCUUUCAGCCAUGACGAAGCUUUUGUGACGGUAGUGGCAGAAGAAGCACCGGCUAACUACGUGCCAGCAGCCGCGGUGAUACGUAGGGUGCGAGCGUUGUCCGGAAUUAUUGGGCGUAAAGAGCUUGUAGGCGGUUUGUCGCGUCGAAAGUGUAAACUCAGUGCUUAACGCUGAGCCUGCUUUCGAUACGGGCUGACUAGAGGAAGGUAGGGGAGAAUGGAAUUCCCGGUGGAGCGGUGGAAUGCGCAGAUAUCGGGAGGAACACCAGUGGCGAAGGCGGUUCUCUGGACCUUUCCUGACGCUGUGAAGCGAAAGCGUGGGUAGCAAACAGG